rnacentral:lncRNA from 1 species
GCAAUUUGUCUUAAAGAAAGAGUAAUACUCUCUUCGAAUUUCUUUUUUACUCCUUAUUUCAUUUUGGUUUUAUGUGGUCAUUUUAGUCAUAUACUUUAUGUCCUUAUAUUGUGUUCUAAUUACACUCUUUCGGGUUAGAACUUUUGCUUGCAAUAAUAGUGUUUCGACUGCAUUUUAAACUUUGUUCAUUUACAACAUAUACAACCGUUAAACCGCUAAAAUAAAUACCCAGUACAACAAAAGUUCGUGAUGAUGCCUUAAUGUGAUUUUUCCCUCGUCAGCUUUCUCUGGGAAAGAAGGACCAUAUGCUCAAACAACUGUUUCAGCAGUUCCUAAAGUCAGUAAUGCCAGGGAUGGUUGGAAAAUAAUUAGAGCAUCGUCGAAGGUCCAAUUUUUGCAUACUGAUGAAAGAGAACUAGCUAUGUCGGAGAAGAUUGAUUUGAGACCUUCUAUAUGACGCAUGCUGUCGCAAGGGCAUUGAAGAUCAUGGCACAGUGUAGUACAUUGUUGAUGAAGUGAUUGCUAGUAGGUUGUGUGAAUUUACUUUUUGCCUGCAUUUUCAGAAAAAAUGAACAUUCCAGAGACUCGUUACUUGUUGGAAAUAAAGACCAUCGCCAUUCAUGGGAAAAAUCUAGAUAGCAAAAUUGUGAACUCCAUCACCAAUAGAAGAAUUCUCCAUAAAAUUGAAGGCGGCAAACUCACCGACAUUCACGACUAUAAAUAUGGUAUCAAUUGUAUUGUGUAUGCAAAUGAGAAGAGAUAAAGUGAAGUGAAAGGCAGUGAAUUGUCAUGUCCAAGUGUCAUUUGUAUAAAUUUUUGUCUCAAUAAAAUAAUAAUUUUCUGGG